rnacentral:rRNA from 1 species
UACGUAGGGUGCAGGCGUUAAUCGGAAUUACUGGGCGUAAAGCGUGCGCAGGCGGCUUCCUAAGUCAGAUGUGAAAUCCCCGGGCUCAACCCAGGAACUGCGUCCGAGACUGGGGGGCUAGAAUCCGGGAGAGGGAUGUGGAAUUCCAGGUGUAGCGGUGAAAUGCGUAGAUAUCUGGAGGAACAUCGGUGGCGAAGGCGGCAUCCUGGACCGGUAUUGACGCUGAGGCGCGAAAGCCAGGGGAGCAAACGGG